GGGGACGACAUGGUUUCGACGGGGGAACGAGAGUCGUAGAUAGCAUGCCGAGGUCGCUUCGCCCCUCGUAAAUAAGCGGGCAACUAAAUAUUAAAUGCAGAUGAUUAUUCAUAUGCUAUGGCUGCCUAAGAACUAGGUUAAGCCACGUUCUUGCUUUUUGAUGCCACUGCGAUUGGCAAGGGCGACGACUUUAGUGGCUGGCUUCCUUUGCCGCCUGGACUCUGGAAGUGAGAUUUACAGGCUGGCUGUAAAAUGGCCUUGUUUACCGUGCCAUGCGCAGUAAGAAUCAAACGAUAAACUAAGCAUGUAGAAUUCUGCUGCGCUUGUCCUUCGGACGCGGGUUCGAUUCCCGCCGUCUCCACUU
rnacentral:tmRNA from 1 species